GGCUUAACACAUGCAAGUCGAGGGGCAGCAUUUUAGUUUGCUUGCAAACUGAAGAUGGCGACCGGCGCACGGGUGAGUAACACGUAUCCAACCUGCCGAUAACUCCGGAAUAGCCUUUCGAAAGAAAGAUUAAUACCGGAUAGCAUACGAAUAUCGCAUGAUAUUUUUAUUAAAGAAUUUCGGUUAUCGAUGGGGAUGCGUUCCAUUAGUUUGUUGGCGGGGUAACGGCCCACCAAGACUACGAUGGAUAGGGGUUCUGAGAGGAAGGUCCCCCACAUUGGAACUGAGACACGGUCCAAACUCCUACGGGAGGCAGCAGUGAGGAAUAUUGGUCAAUGGGCGAGAGCCUGAACCAGCCAAGUAGCGUGAAGGAUGAAGGCUCUAUGGGUCGUAAACUUCUUUUAUAUGGGAAUAAAGUUUUCCACGUGUGGAAUUUUGUAUGUACCAUAUGAAUAAGGAUCGGCUAACUCCGUGCCAGCAGCCGCGGUAAUACGGAGGAUCCGAGCGUUAUCCGGAUUUAUUGGGUUUAAAGGGAGCGUAGGUGGAUUGUUAAGUCAGUUGUGAAAGUUUGCGGCUCAACCGUGAAAUUGCAGUUGAAACUGGCAGUCUUGAGUACAGUAGAGGUGGGCGGAAUUCGUGGUGUAGCGGUGAAAUGCUUAGAUAUCACGAAGAACUCCGAUUGCGAAGGCAGCUCACUAGACUGUCACUGACACUGAUGCUCGAAAGUGUGGGUAUCAAACAGGAUUAGAUACCCUGGUAGUCCACACAGUAAACGAUGAAUACUCGCUGUUUGCGAUAUACAGUAAGCGGCCAAGCGAAAGCAUUAAGUAUUCCACCUGGGGAGUACGCCGGCAACGGUGAAACUCAAAGGAAUUGACGGGGGCCCGCACAAGCGGAGGAACAUGUGGUUUAAUUCGAUGAUACGCGAGGAACCUUACCCGGGCUUAAAUUGCAACAGAAUAUAUUGGAAACAGUAUAGCCGUAAGGCUGUUGUGAAGGUGCUGCAUGGUUGUCGUCAGCUCGUGCCGUGAGGUGUCGGCUUAAGUGCCAUAACGAGCGCAACCCUUAUCUUUAGUUACUAACAGGUCAUGCUGAGGACUCUAGAGAGACUGCCGUCGUAAGAUGUGAGGAAGGUGGGGAUGACGUCAAAUCAGCACGGCCCUUACGUCCGGGGCUACACACGUGUUACAAUGGGGGGUACAGAAGGCGGCUACCUGGUGACAGGAUGCUAAUCCCAAAAACCUCUCUCAGUUCGGAUCGAAGUCUGCAACCCGACUUCGUGAAGCUGGAUUCGCUAGUAAUCGCGCAUCAGCCAUGGCGCGGUGAAUACGUUCCCGGGCCUUGUACACACCGCCCGUCAAGCCAUGAAAGCUGGGGGUACCUGAAGUACGUAACCGCAAGGAGCGUCCUAGGGUAAAACUGGUAAUUGGGGCU
rnacentral:rRNA from 1 species